AUUGAACGCUGGCGGCAGGCCUAACACAUGCAAGUCGAGCGGAUGAAGGGAGCUUGCUCCUGGAUUCAGCGGCGGACGGGUGAGUAAUGCCUAGGAAUCUGCCUGGUAGUGUGGGAUAACGUCCGUAAACGGGCGCUAAUACCGCAUACGUCCUGAGGGAGAAAGUGGUGGAUCUUCGGACCUCACGCUAUCAGAUGAGCCUAGGUCGGAUUAGCUAGUUGGUGGGGUAAAGGCCUACCAAGGCGACGAUCCGUAACUGGUCUGAGAGGAUGAUCAGUCACACUGGAACUGAGACACGGUCCAGACUCCUACGUGAGGCAGCAGUGGGGAAUAUUGGACAAUGGGCGAAAGCCUGAUCCAGCCAUGCCGCGUGUGUGAAGAAGGUCUUCGGAUUGUAAAGCACUUUAAGUUGGGAGGAAGGGCAGUAAGUUAAUACCUUGCUGUUUUGACGUUACCAACAGAAUAAGCACCGGCUAACUUCGUGCCAGCAGCCGCGGUAAUACGAAGGGUGCAAGCGUUAAUCGGAAUUACUGGGCGUAAAGCGCGCGUAGGUGGUUCAGCAAGUUGGAUGUGAAAUCCCCGGGCUCAACCUGUGAACUGCAUCCAAAACUACUGAGCUAGAGUACGGUAGAGUGUGGUGGAAUUUCCUGUGUAGCGGUGAAAUGCGUAGAUAUAGGAAGGAACACCAGUGGCGAAGGCGACCACCUGGACUGAUACUGACACUGAGGUGCGAAAGCGUGGUGAGCAAACAGGAUUAGAUACCCUGGUAGUCCACGCCGUAAACGAUGUCGACUAGCCGUUGGGAUCCUUGAGAUCUUAGUGGCGCAGCUAACGCGAUAAGUCGACCGCCUGGGGAGUACGGCCGCAAGGUUAAAACUCAAAUGAAUUGACGGGGGCCCGCACAAGCGGUGGAGCAUGUGGUUUAAUUCGAAGCAACGCGAAGAACCUUACCUGGCCUUGACAUGCUGAGAACUUUCCAGAGAUGGAUUGGUGCCUUCGGGAACUCAGACACAGGUGCUGCAUGUCUGUCGUCAGCUCGUGUCGUGAGUUGUUGGGUUAAGUCCCGUAACGAGCGCAACCCUUGUCCUUAGUUACCAGCACCUCGGGUGGGCACUCUAAGGAGACUGCCGGUGACAAACCGGAGGAAGGUGGGGAUGACGUCAAGUCAUCAUGGCCCUUACGUCCAGGGCUACACACGUGCUACAAUGGUCGGUACAAAGGGUUGCCAAGCCUCGAGGUGGAGCUAAUCCCAUAAAACCGAUCGUAGUCCGGAUCGCAGUCUGCAACUCGACUGCGUGAAGUCGGAAUCGCUAGUAAUCGUGAAUCAGAAUGUCACGGUGAAUACGUUCCCGGGCCUUGUACACACCGCCCGUCACACCAUGGGAGUGGGUUGCUCCAGAAGUAGCUAGUCUAACCGCAAGGGGGACGGUUACCACGGAGUGAUUCAUGACUGGGGUGAA
rnacentral:rRNA from 1 species